UGUUAGGUUGGUGCAAAAGUAAUUGAGGUUUUUGCCAUUCACUUUUAUUUCCCCACAAUCACUUUUGCACCAAU
rnacentral:miRNA from 1 species